GGUUAAGCGACUAAGCGUACACGGUGGAUGCCCUGGCAGUCAGAGGCGAUGAAGGACGUGCUAAUCUGCGAUAAGCGUCGGUAAGGUGAUAUGAACCGUUAUAACCGGCGAUUUCCGAAUGGGGAAACCCAGUGUGUUUCGACACACUAUCAUUAACUGAAUCCAUAGGUUAAUGAGGCGAACCGGGGGAACUGAAACAUCUAAGUACCCCGAGGAAAAGAAAUCAACCGAGAUUCCCCCAGUAGCGGCGAGCGAACGGGGAGCAGCCCAGAGCCUGAAUCAGUGUGUGUGUUAGUGGAAGCGUCUGGAAAGGCGCGCGAUACAGGGUGACAGCCCCGUACACAAAAAUGCACAUGCUGUGAGCUCGAUGAGUAGGGCGGGACACGUGGUAUCCUGUCUGAAUAUGGGGGGACCAUCCUCCAAGGCUAAAUACUCCUGACUGACCGAUAGUGAACCAGUACCGUGAGGGAAAGGCGAAAAGAACCCCGGCGAGGGGAGUGAAAAAGAACCUGAAACCGUGUACGUACAAGCAGUGGGAGCACGCUUAGGCGUGUGACUGCGUACCUUUUGUAUAAUGGGUCAGCGACUUAUAUUCUGUAGCAAGGUUAACCGAAUAGGGGAGCCGAAGGGAAACCGAGUCUUAACUGGGCGUUAAGUUGCAGGGUAUAGACCCGAAACCCGGUGAUCUAGCCAUGGGCAGGUUGAAGGUUGGGUAACACUAACUGGAGGACCGAACCGACUAAUGUUGAAAAAUUAGCGGAUGACUUGUGGCUGGGGGUGAAAGGCCAAUCAAACCGGGAGAUAGCUGGUUCUCCCCGAAAGCUAUUUAGGUAGCGCCUCGUGAAUUCAUCUCCGGGGGUAGAGCACUGUUUCGGCAAGGGGGUCAUCCCGACUUACCAACCCGAUGCAAACUGCGAAUACCGGAGAAUGUUAUCACGGGAGACACACGGCGGGUGCUAACGUCCGUCGUGAAGAGGGAAACAACCCAGACCGCCAGCUAAGGUCCCAAAGUCAUGGUUAAGUGGGAAACGAUGUGGGAAGGCCCAGACAGCCAGGAUGUUGGCUUAGAAGCAGCCAUCAUUUAAAGAAAGCGUAAUAGCUCACUGGUCGAGUCGGCCUGCGCGGAAGAUGUAACGGGGCUAAACCAUGCACCGAAGCUGCGGCAGCGACGCUUAUGCGUUGUUGGGUAGGGGAGCGUUCUGUAAGCCUGCGAAGGUGUGCUGUGAGGCAUG
rnacentral:rRNA from 1 species